rnacentral:rRNA from 1 species
CCUACGGGCGGCAGCAGUGAGGAAUAUUGGUCAAUGGCCGGAAGGCUGAACCAGCCAUGCCGCGUGAAGGUCAGUGCCCUAUGGGCGUUAAACUUCUUUUGUGCGGGAGCAAUACUGGUCACGUGUGGCCAGACGAGAGUACCGUACGAAUAAGCAUCGGCUAACUCCGCGCCAGCAGCCGCGGUAAUACGGGGGAUGCAAGCGUUAUCCGGAUUUAUUGGGUUUAAAGGGUGCGUAGGCUGUGAGGUAAGUCAGCGGUGAAAUGCCCCCGCUCAACGGGGUGAAGUGCCAUUGAUACUGCCUGGCUGGAAUGCGGAUGCCGUGGGAGGAAUGUGUGGUGUAGCGGUGAAAUGCAUAGAUAUCACACAGAACACCGAUUGCGAAGGCAUCUCACGAAUCCGCGAUUGACGCUGAUGCACGAAAGCGUGGGUAUCAAACAGGAUUAGAUACCCUAGUAGUC